rnacentral:rRNA from 1 species
UACGUAGGGUGCGAGCGUUGUCCGGAAUUAUUGGGCGUAAAGGGCUCGUAGGCGGUUUGUCGCGUCGGGAGUGAAAUCCACUGGCUUAACUGGUGGCUUGCUUUCGAUACGGGCAGACUGGAGGUAUGCAGGGGAGAACGGAAUUCCUGGUGUAGCGGUGAAAUGCGCAGAUAUCAGGAGGAACACCGGUGGCGAAGGCGGUUCUCUGGGCCUGUUCUGACGCUGAGGAGCGAAAGCGUGGGGAGCAAACAGG